CCCCUCGUGUGUAACACCGUUACUAGCCUCUAGACCUUCCGACUGGACCCCUGGCUUUCUGAACUCUGCUUCCCUACCUGGACGACGCUCUUGGACAGUGCUACUGUGAAGCUGACCAGCUCUGCUUUCCUACGGACGAACUUUCAAGCCUGUGCCUUUGCUUUAAGGAGAAACUGACCGGGAGCUCAAAGUGAUGUACAUGGUUCUCCCCUCCCCAUUUUAUCUUCACAACAACCCUGUGAG